rnacentral:rRNA from 1 species
AUUGAACGCUGGCGGCAGGCCUAACACAUGCAAGUCGAGCGGAUGAAGGGAGCUUGCUCCUGGAUUCAGCGGCGGACGGGUGAGUAAUGCCUAGGAAUCUGCCUGGUAGUGGGGGAUAACGUCCGUAAACGGGCGCUACUACCGCAUACGUCCUGAGGGAGAAAGUGGGGGAUCUUCGGACCUCACGCUAUCAGAUGAGCCUAGGUCGGAUUAGCUAGUUGGUGGGGUAAAGGCCUACCAAGGCGACGAUCCGUAACUGGUCUGAGAGGAUGAUCAGUCACACUGGAACUGAGACACGGUCCGGACUCCUACGGGAGGCAGCAGUGGGGAAUAUUGGAAAAUGGGCGAAAGCCUGAUCCAGACAUGCCGCGUGUGUGAAGAAGGUCUUCGGAUUGUAAAGCACUUUAAGUUGGGAGGAAGGGCAGUAAGUUAAUAACUUGCUGUUUUGACGUUACCAACAGAAUAAGCACCGGCUAACUUCGUG